rnacentral:rRNA from 1 species
AUGGAGCUCCGCACCCUCGGCGGCACGGGCCUCCGCGUUAGCCCCGUCGGCUUCGGCGCCUCCCCGCUCGGCAACGUCUUCGGCGACGUCCCCCGCGACGUCGCCCGCGCCACCGUCCGCCGCGCCCUCGACCUCGGCAUCAACUUCUUCGACACAUCCCCGUACUACGGCGGCACGGUGUCGGAGUCGGUGCUCGGGGACUGCCUCCGCUUCUCGGGCGUCCCGCGCGACAGCUUCGUGGUCGCCACCAAGUGCGGCCGCUACAAGGAGGGCUUCGACUUCAGCGCCACCCGUGUCACGCGCAGCAUCGACGAGAGCCUCGCGCGCCUCGGGCUCGACUACGUGGACAUCCUUCACUGCCACGACAUCGAGUUCACCAGCCUAGACCAGAUCGUGAACGAGACGAUUCCUGCGCUGCAAAAGAUCAAGGAGAGUGGGAAGGCGCGGUUCAUUGGAAUUACUGGAUUGCCGUUGAGCAUCUUCACCUACGUGCUUGACCGGGUGCCUCCCGGCUCAGUAGAUUUGGUUCUGUCCUACUGCCACUACGGAAUCAAUGAUACCGCGCUGGUGGAUUUGCUACCGUACUUGAAGAGCAAAGGUGUUGGGGUGAUCAGUGCUUCGCCCCUUGCUAUGGGGCUUCUCACGGAUAACGGGCCACCUGAGUGGCACCCUGCACCAGAAGAACUCAAGCUGGCAUGCAGGACAGCAGCAGAUCACUGUAGAAAGAAGGGGAAACAUAUUACAAAGCUAGCCAUGAAGUAUAGCUUGAUGAACAAUGAAAUUUCUACAGUUCUUGUUGGAAUGAACUCUCCAGAACAGGUGGAGGAGAAUGUUGCUGCUGCAGUGGAAUUGUCGACUUCAGGCAUAGAUGAAGAACUUUUGCACGAAGUCGAAGCAAUUCUAGAGCCUGUUAAAAACUUGACCUGGCCCAGUGGUAUUCAGCAAGCGUAA